rnacentral:rRNA from 1 species
AGAGUUUGAUCCUGGCUCAGAUUGAACGCUGGCGGCAUGCCUUACACAUGCAAGUCGAACGGUAACAGGGAGCUUGCUCUGCUGACGAGUGGCGAACGGGUGAGUAAUAUAUCGGAACGUGCCCUGGAGUGGGGGAUAACUAGUCGAAAGAUUAGCUAAUACCGCAUACGAUCUCAGGAUGAAAGUGGGGGAUUCGCAAGGACCUCAUGCUCGUGGAGCGGCCGAUAUCUGAUUAGCUAGUUGGUAGGGUAAAAGCCUACCAAGGCAUCGAUCAGUAGCUGGUCUGAGAGGACGACCAGCCACACUGGGACUGAGACACGGCCCAGACUCCUACGGGAGGCAGCAGUGGGGAAUUUUGGACAAUGGGCGCAAGCCUGAUCCAGCAAUGCCGCGUGAGUGAAGAAGGCCUUCGGGUUGUAAAGCUCUUUUGUCAGGGAAGAAACGGUUUGGCUUAAUACGCUGAGCUAAUGACGGUACCUGAAGAAUAAGCACCGGCUAACUACGUGCCAGCAGCCGCGGUAAUACGUAGGGUGCAAGCGUUAAUCGGAAUUACUGGGCGUAAAGCGUGCGCAGGCGGCUAUGUAAGACAGAUGUGAAAUGCCCGGGCUUAACCUGGGAACUGCAUUUGUGACUGCAUGGCUAGAGUGUGUCAGAGGGGGGUAGAAUUCCACGUGUAGCAGUGAAAUGCGUAGAUAUGUGGAGGAAUACCGAUGGCGAAGGCAGCCCCCUGGGAUAACACUGACGCUCAUGCACGAAAGCGUGGGGAGCAAACAGGAUUAGAUACCCUGGUAGUCCACGCCCUAAACGAUGUCUACUAGUUGUCGGGUCUUAAUUGACUUGGUAACGCAGCUAACGCGUGAGGUAGACCGCCUGGGGAGUACGGUCGCAAGAUUAAAACUCAAAGGAAUUGACGGGGACCCGCACAAGCGGUGGAUGAUGUGGAUUAAUUCGAUGCAACGCGAAAAACCUUACCUACCCUUGACAUGUCAGAGAGCUCGAAGAGAUUUGAGUGUGCUCGAAAGAGAAUCUGAACACAGGUGCUGCAUGGCUGUCGUCAGCUCGUGUCGUGAGAUGAUGGGUUAAGUCCCGCAACGAGCGCAACCCUUGUCAUUAGUUGCUACGAAAGGGCACUCUAAUGAGACUGCCGGUGACAAACCGGAGGAAGGUGGGGAUGACGUCAAGUCCUCAUGGCCCUUAUGGGUAGGGCUUCACACGUCAUACAAUGGUACAUACAGAGGGCUGCCAACCCGCGAGGGGGAGCUAAUCCCAGAAAGUGUAUCGUAGUCCGGAUUGGAGUCUGCAACUCGACUCCAUGAAGUUGGAAUCGCUAGUAAUCGCGGAUCAGCAUGUCGCGGUGAAUACGUUCCCGGGUCUUGUACACACCGCCCGUCACACCAUGGGAGCGGGUUUUACCAGAAGUAGGUAGCCUAACCGCAAGGAGGGCGCUUACCACGGUAGGAUUCGUGACUGGGGUGAAGUCGUAACAAGGUA